UUAUCUCAUCAUGAGCGGUUUCUCUCACAAACCCGCCAACCGAGCCUAAAAGCCACGGUGGUCAGUUCCGCUAAAAGGAAUGAUGUGCCUUUUAUUAGGAAAAAGUGGAACCGCC
rnacentral:ncRNA from 10 species